GUGCGGAGGAGAGGGAGAUAGUGAGUUUUGGGGGAAGAGACAAUCAGUGGGGGGGUGUAGCCAGUUUUGGGGGGGCGACAGUCAGUUUGAUUUGCUGUUGCAUGGACCGCGGUUGACAUGUCUCAGGAUUGGACGGUCAUCUCUUAUAUCGUCUGCGGCAGCCGAUGAGACGACCGACCAGGCGGCGUGAGAUUCUGGUGUCGCCAUGGCGAAGGAGGAGACAUCGGGGGGCGAGCUGCUGCACCCCAAUUAUAACCCGGAUAUCCCAGGAAAGGAUUCCUGUUCACAGGAAAGGCUAAGAAAUGGCGAGACGUCUCCUAUGGCGGCGGCGGGGGGUCAGGGGACCAAGCUGUACGCCCGCCGCUGGUUGAUGGUCCUCCUGUUCAGCUCGUACUCCCUGUGUAACGCCUUCCAGUGGCUCCAGUACGGUAUUAUCAGUAACAUCUUCAUGAAGUACUAUGGGGUCAGCAGCCUGACCAUCGAUUGGCUGUCCAUGUCCUACAUGUUGGCGUACAUCCCGCUCAUCUUCCCAGUCACCUGGCUGCUUGAGACGCGCGGUCUGCGCAUCAUCGCCCUCAUCGGCUCCGGCCUGAACUGUAUGGGGGCUUGGAUUAAGACGGCCAGCGCCCAACCCAACCUGUAUGGCGUGACGCUUUUUGGACAGCUGGUGUGCGCGACGGCGCAGGUCUUUAUCCUGGGAAUGCCAUCGCACAUCGCCUCCGUGUGGUUCAGCUCAUCGGAAGUCUCCACCGCCUGCUCUGUUGGGGUGUUCGGGAACCAGUUAGGUGUCGCAGUGGGCUUCCUCCUGCCGCCAGUCCUGAUCUCCAACAUUGACGAUUUAGACCGACUAUCGUAUCAAAUCAGCAUUAUGUUUUAUGGAACCGCAGCUGUCGCCAGCCUCCUCUUCAUCCUGGUAAUAUUCGUCUUCCAGGAGGCUCCCCCCACCCCACCAACCCUGGCCCAGGCGGCUCUGCUCUCUGUUCCCGCCGGUCAGUACUCCUAUAAACAGUCCAUACUGCGGCUACUGAGGAACCGAAACUUCAUCCUGCUGGUUGUGUCAUACGGGCUGAACACGGGUGCAUUUUACUCCCUAUCUACCUUACUGAACCGCAUGGUGACAGAAUAUUACCCGGGGGAGGAGGUGAACGCCGGCCGGAUCGGACUGACAAUCACCGUCGCUGGGAUGUUUGGUGCUCUUAUCACUGGUCUCUGGCUGGACAGAACCAAGACGUACAAACAGACGACGCUGGCUGUCUAUGUCUUAUCGUUGGUUGGAAUGGUGGUCUUCACAUUUAUAUUGGAUCUCGGAUUCCUCUGGGCGGUCUUCGUCACGGCUGGGUGUCUGGGGUUUUUUAUGACGGGUUAUCUCCCUCUGGGCUUCGAGUUUGCAGCAGAAUUGACUCAUCCGGAAUCGGAAGGAACAUCGUCAGGUCUGCUCAAUGUGGCUGCACAGGUGUUUGGACUCAUUUUCACAACAGCACAAGGCCAGAUUUUGGAGAAAUUUGGUGUUCGGGCUGGAAACCUCCUUCUGUGCAGCUUUCUGCUGGCUGGUGCCAUUAUCACAGGCCUUAUUAAGGCGGACCUCCGCAGACAGAGAGCCAAUCAGGAGGCAAUGCAUAUACCUCUGCAAGAAUGGCCCAUUGUGGACAUACGGUAUGGUGCGGUAUGUGACCGCUCGCUGCAAGACAUGAAGAAACUCCUCCAGGAUGGAAGGAGGACCCAGUGAUCUGUCAGAUUCCAGCUGCUGCACAUGCUGAUUUUCAGCAUAUGAAGUCGGUGAAUAGCCCAGAAAUCCUGGCUGCUGGAAUGGUCUGUGGUGGUCUGGAGACCCCCAGUGCUACAAUUGGGGGAAGGCACCUGUACAGCAAGAGGUGGAGGUGGUGAUGACCAUGGCGACGGCAGAAAGCGGUGAGGGGCCAGCUCCUCUGCUUCCCCAGGACCCCUG